rnacentral:rRNA from 1 species
GAUGAACGCUAGCGGCAGGCCUAACACAUGCCAGUCGAGCGGUAUUGUUUCUUAGGUUACGUGUGUGCGGCGUACGGGUGCGUAACACGUGUGUAACCUGCCUUCUUCUUGGUGAUAGCCUUUCGCAAGGAAGAUUAAUACCCCAUACUACAUUGAACGGCAUCGCCUAAUAUUGAAAGCUCCGGCGGUUAGAGCUGAGCACGCGCAAGAUUAGCUGGUUGGUGAGGUAACGGCUACCCAAGGCGAUGAUCUUUAGGGGUCAGGAGAGUGUGAUCCCCCAGACUGGAACUGAGACACGGACCAGAAUGCGACGGGAGGCAGCAGUGAAGAAUAUUAUGCGAGGGGGGCAAACCUGAACCAGCCAUGCCGAGUGAAGGACGACUGCGCUAGGGGUUGUAAACUUCUGUUGUGUAGGGAAAAACAGACCCUCGAGAGGGUAAUUGAAGGUACUAUACGAAUAAGCACCGGCUAACUCCGUG